UCAUAAUGAGAACAUUUUCACAGUGAAAG
rnacentral:piRNA from 1 species